rnacentral:rRNA from 1 species
CCAAGAGUGUAUCUUAAUGUUGCUGCAGUUAAAAAGCUCGUAGUUGAACUUCUGGCUAGUGGAGGUCCCCCGGGAUCAUUCGCUAGUCAUCCGCUCGGAGAAGCAGUAUUUCCUUUACUGGUUUUACUGUAGACCCAGCAUUUUACUUUGAAGAAAUUAGAGUGUUCCUGGCAGGCUUAGCUUGCAUAUAUUAGCAUGGAAUAAUGGAAUAGGACCUUGUCUGUUUUAUUGGUUGACAGAUAGGUAAUGAUUAACAGGGACAGUCGGGGGCAUUCGUACUCAGUGGCUAGAGGUGAAAUUCUUAGAUUCGCUGAAGACGAACUAAUGCGAAAGCAUUUGCCAAGGAUGUUUUCAUUAAUCAAGAACGAAAGUUAGGGGAUCAAAGACGAUUAGAUACCGUCGUAGUCCUAGCCAUAAACUAUACCGACUAGGGAUUGGUGUGGGUCAUAAUCCAUAUCAGCACCUAAUGAGAAAUCAAAAGUCUUUGGGUUCUGGGGGGAGUAUGGUCGCAAGGCUGAACUUAAAGGU